CCGGCAGCGAUGGCCGGCGCUAGGGGGCGCUGUGCGCCGCUCCGGCCCGCGCCCGCGGCUGCGGCGCCGGGGGCCUCAACGGCCGGGAUGGAGCCCAGCGGGCAGCGAUGGAGCCCAGCGGGCCUCAACGGCCGGGAUGGAGCCCAGCGGGCAGCGAUGGAGCCCAGCGGGCAGCGAUGGAGCCCAGCGGGCUGCAGUGGACCCCGUUGGGCCGCAGUGGAUCCCAGCUGACAGCAGCACACCCGGCCAUGGGCACCGCCUGCACGACGCUGUGUGUGAGGCGUCAGGGGUCACAGAUUCUGCCGAGUUGGAAGGGACCCACAAGGAUCAUCAAAUUUGGCAUGUCCUGAAAUAUCACAAAAUGAACCCAGAAUAGUCUCAAUCUAUCAGAUUGACACUCUUCAUUUAUCAAUUUUCAGAAAUAAAAUCUUUCAAGCGCCAGAGAAAUACACCAUGAGUGGGACUUUUAUCUGGGCCUUACUCUUAGUUCCACAAAUUCCCACCAGCAUUGGCAUUACUGUCUGCCAGACAGAGGGGAAUAAGUGAAGUUGUUCAACUUUGCUUUGUCAGUGUUGCAUGGCUUGAGGACCAUUUCAGCAGGGAAUGCUGGGGCUUCCACAGCAGGGUCAUCAGUAGAAUGAAUCACCCCAGCUUGACUGAAGACCUGGCAUUUCAUCUAGACCACAGAGAUGGAUUCAAAGCCAAGGAGGAAGCUUCCAUUUUUACAGGAGAUCAAGGGUGCUGACACUUUAAUGUUUUUCUGAAUUAUGCAGUAGAGACACAUCACCUAUUAGUUCUGACAAUGUACUGUGCUGUAAGUGUUAAUCUGCAUGUACACAGGCAGAGUGUCCAGCAUUUACAAAUAGUUUGUGAUAAACAUGACAAUUUGUGACUGAAGCUCAAAUACAUGGACUAAUUCAAAAUGGCA
rnacentral:lncRNA from 12 species